rnacentral:rRNA from 1 species
UACGUAGGGGGCUAGCGUUGUCCGGAAUCAUUGGGCGUAAAGAGCGUGUAGGCGGCCGGUAAGUCCGCUGUGAAAGUCGGGGGCUCAACCCUCGAAUGCCGGUGGAUACUGUCGGGCUAGAGUGCGGAAGAGGCGAGUGGAAUCCUGGUGUAGCGGUGAAAUGCGCAGAUAUCAGGAGGAACACCGAUUGCGAAGGCAGCUCGCUGGGACGUAACUGACGCUGAGACGCGAAAGCGUGGGGAGCAAACAGGAUUAG